rnacentral:rRNA from 1 species
GAUGAACGCUGGCGGCGUGCCUAAUACAUGCAAGUCGAGCGAACAGACGAGGAGCUUGCUCCUCUGACGUUAGCGGCGGACGGGUGAGUAACACGUGGAUAACCUACCUAUAAGACUGGGAUAACUUCGGGAAACCGGAGCUAAUACCGGAUAAUAUAUUGAACCGCAUGGUUCAAUAGUGAAAGACGGUUUUGCUGUCACUUAUAGAUGGAUCCGCGCCGCAUUAGCUAGUUGGUAAGGUAACGGCUUACCAAGGCGACUAUGCGUAGCCGACCUGAGAGGGUGAUCGGCCACACUGGAACUGAGACACGGUCCAGACUCCUACGGGAGGCAGCAGUCGGGAAUCUUCCGCAAUGGGCGAAAGCCUGACGGAGCAACGCCGCGUGAGUGAUGAAGGUCUUCGGAUCGUAAAACUCUGUUAUUAGGGAAGAACAAAUGUGUAAGUAACUAUGCACGUCUUGACGGUACCUAAUCAGAAAGCCACGGCUAACUACGUG